CCACAAAAGCACACAACAACUGAAUGGAUACAAAGAAUAUACAAAGAAAUGAAUCUCUCUCAGUCUUGGUUUCAGUCUUGUACACAGGCUGCUGAGAUGCCACUGAGUUCAGCAUGACUUACGCUGCCUAACAACGUGCAAGUUUAUCACCUUCUCCAGCAAAAUAUCCUUGGAUCUUCAUUUCAGUGGAUAAUUGAGAGACCUCAUGGGUUGACUGCCACAGAAAUAUUAUCAAACAGGAUCAAUCAUACCAUCAUUGUCACAAGAAAGUCAAAAUGCCCCUGGGAUAUGUGAGGAAACAUUUCAAAACAACAUUGUGAAAAAUAGAGAGAUUGGAUGUGUGUAAUUUGA